UUAGAGUCUUGGACGGCAACAAUAGACGCAAGGCCUGACAUAAGGCAACGGAAAUUUGGUGUCGUUGAUUAUUGGGAGUUUCAUAAACCUUGUAAAAUUGUUGUUUUAUAUGUGAAAGCAUCCAAUUCCAGUUGUAUUUGGUGUCCAAAGCCUUUUAGAUAAAACAUCUUUCUUUUUUUUCUCUCACUUCAUUUUCAUUUUCACUUUCCUCUCCUCUUUCAAUCUAAUGUUCCGCCUCCAAAAGAAUAAAACCCUAACUCAGAAUAACUCAUCCACCUUCGUUCAUUCUCUAAUCAGUAAUCACCACCACCGAAUACCUUCACUCUCACUAUCUCUGUACGUAAUACUUACUUAGAUCAACGAUUAUGGUAUUGUUUGCGUUUUUAAUUUUUAAGGGUUUGGAUAGACAUCUUCUUUUUCCCAUCAAAUCUCUUCAAGUCAAUCUCGAAAUCAAGAUAGAGAGCAAAACCCAUUUCUCUAAUUUCAUAAUCUUCGUUUACAGUAUUGCAGGAAAAGAAAAUCUGGAGAAGGGUUUGGUAAUGUCCUUGCACCUCUUUUGUUAGGUUACCCUGUUUUACGAAGAUGGUCGAUCUGUGGAUGGAAAAGGCAUUGGUAGGGAAGUGAUAGAUCGAGUGAAAGAGGCCUAUGAUACCGAGUUGGCUGGGAACCAUUUUUUUAUGAUCCGGAAAAGAGUCUAAUUACUAACAAACUUGAGUUCACUGUUGUGCUUGAAGAGGCCUCAUCUAACAGAACUGCUGCUAAUGGGAAUGUGAAUGCGAAUCUGGUGACGGAGGUAGUCCAAGGUCUAGGCGUCCUUGCCAGACAAAGAGUUUCAAGGUAGAGAUAAGUUUUGCUGCCAAGAUCCCUAUGCAGGCCAUAGCAAAUGCAUUACGUGGUCAAACUGAAAACUCACAAGAAGCUCUCGGAGUUUUAGAUAUAGUCUUAUGACAGCAUGCAGCAAGACAGGGUUGUCUACUUGUCCGUCAGUUGUUCUUCCACAAUGAGCCACAGAACUUUGUUGAUUUGGGUGGUGGAGUCCAUGGAUGUAGAGGUUUUCAUUCCAGUUUUAGGACCACUCAAGGUGGAUUAUCUCUGAAUAUUGAUGUGUCUACUACCAUGAUAAUAUGGCCAAGACCUGUAAUUGAUUUUUUAUUGGGCAAUCAAAAUGUGAAUCAUCCAAACCAAAUUAACUGGGACAAGGUAAACGUAAUUUUUCUUCAAACUUGGCAUAUGUUUUAUUGUUGACAGGAUAAGUGAACCCUUAAAAAUGUAAGGGUUAAGGUUAGUCCCUCAAAUUCGGAAUAUAAGAUCACUGGACUGAGUGAUUUGCCUUGUCGUCAACAACUGUAAGCAUCCAUUACUUCUAUAGUAGUUUUUUUUCCUUUACUCCUUAAUAAAUAUAGUAUCCUGAUGUUAACUAUUUCAGGUAUUGGUUUCAAUGUUCUUAGCAAGACUCCAGAUUGUUUUGCUUCAAAAGGCGUAGUUAGAAGUUCACUAUCCCGCUUUCACACUAUUAAUUGUUCGUUUUGUUUGUUUCCAGAUUCCUUCCGCAUUGGCUCCUGUCGAUGCCCUUGAGAGGUACACCCAGCUUUCCAGACAUCCCUUCACAAAACUAACAGACCUGGCAUUUUGUUCGUUGAUAUACAUCCAUCCAAGGAUAUCAUUGCAACCGGAGGGGUUGACACAAAUGCUAUUGUUUUGGACCGCACAUCUGGGAAGAUUUUGUCUACACUAAAUGGCCAUUCGAAGGUUCCCAGUGUCAAAUUUGUACCCAAGGACGAGUUCUUUGUUACUGCUUCGGCAUAUAAGGUCAUGCGUAUUUGAUGCCUACGCUGGAAUUACUUGAAAUGAUAACUUUGUCUAUGCUCAUAUGGUAUGAUGACAAUCAUAUUGAUUCAUUUGUAUAUGUUUAUUCUCUUGCAACUUCUUGUAUCUAUUGAGAAGUUAAGCUUGUUUUUUAUUUGGGCGUAGCAGCUCACGAGUGUUGGCUUUGAAUUGUUGGUUAAAUUUCAUAAUGAAUAGAACAAUUUUUUGUUUUUGGUUAAAUAUCAUAAUGAAUAGACUUUUGUACUUGUGUUUCAGCAAUGUAUGUAUGAGUGUUAAAAUGUGGA